UUAUGGCGAUAUCACGUUGAAACAUCGGCUCUCAUACGAUCACAGAUGUUAAGCAACGUCAGUACCUAGAUGGGUGACCGAUUGGGAAUACCAGGUGCUGUAAG